CCUACGGGAGGCAGCAGUGAGGAAUAUUGGACAAUGGGCGCAAGCCUGAUCCAGCCAUGCCGCGUGCAGGAAGACGGUCCUAUGGAUUGUAAACUGCUUUUAUACAGGAAGAAACACUCCGACGUGUCGGAGCUUGACGGUACUGUAAGAAUAAGGAUCGGCUAACUCCGUGCCAGCAGCCGCGGUAAUACGGAGGAUCCAAGCGUUAUCCGGAAUCAUUGGGUUUAAAGGGUCCGUAGGCGGUUUAAUAAGUCAGUGGUGAAAUCUGGUCGCUCAACGAUCAAACGGCCAUUGAUACUGUUAGACUUGAAUUAUAAGGAAGUAACUAGAAUAUGUAGUGUAGCGGUGAAAUGCUUAGAUAUUACAUGGAAUACCAAUUGCGAAGGCAGGUUACUACUUAUGGAUUGACGCUGAUGGACGAAAGCGUGGGGAGCGAACAGGAUUAGAUACCCUGGUAGUCCACGCCGUAAACGAUGGAUACUAGCUGUUGGGCGCAAGUUCAGUGGCUAAGCGAAAGUGAUAAGUAUCCCACCUGGGGAGUACGUUCGCAAGAAUGAAACUCAAAGGAAUUGACGGCUGAGAGNGCGAGACGACGACGAGGAGGAGG
rnacentral:rRNA from 1 species